GACGAACGCUGGCGGCGUGCUUAACACAUGCAAGUCGAACGGUGAAGCACCUUCCUUUUGGUGGGUGUGGAUGAGUGGCGAACGGGUGAGUAACACGUGAGUAACCUGCCCCCUUCUUCUGGAUAACCGCAUGAAAGUGUGGCUAAUACGGGAUAUUCUGUGCCUGCUGCAUGGUGGGUGUGGGAAAGAUGCGCUUUUGGGUGUUUUUGGUGGGGGAUGGGCUCGCGGCCUAUCAGCUUGUUGGUGGGGUGAUGGCCUACCAAGGCGGUGACGGGUAGCCGGCCGGAGAGGGUGGACGGUCACACUGGGACGGAGACACGGCCCAGACGCCUACGGGAGGCAGCAGUGGGGAAUAGUGCGCAAGGGGCGCAAGCCUGAUGCAGCGACGCCGCGUGAGGGAUGGAGGCCUUCGGGUUGUAAACCUCUGUCGCCAGUGAAGCAGGCCUGUCCCUUGUGGGUGGGUUGACGGUAGCUGGAUAAGAAGCGCCGACUAACUACGUG
rnacentral:rRNA from 1 species